UUUAUUGGAGAGUUUGAUCCUGGCUCAGGAUGAACGCUGGCGGCGUGCCUAAUACAUGCAAGUCGAGCGAAUGGAUUAAGAGCUUGCUCUUAUGAAGUUAGCGGCGGACGGGUGAGUAACACGUGGGUAACCUGCCCAUAAGACUGGGAUAACUCCGGGAAACCGGGGCUAAUACCGGAUAACAUUUUGAACCGCAUGGUUCGAAAUUGAAAGGCGGCUUCGGCUGUCACUUAUGGAUGGACCCGCGUCGCAUUAGCUAGUUGGU
rnacentral:rRNA from 1 species